CCGACCUGAGAGGGUGAUCGGCCACACUGGAACUGAGACACGGUCCAGACUCCUACGGGAGGCAGCAGUAGGGAAUCUUCCGCAAUGGGCGAAAGCCUGACGGAGCAACGCCGCGUGAGUGAUGAAGGUCUUCGGAUCGUAAAGCUCUGUUGUUAGGGAAGAACAAAUGUGUAAGUAACUGUGCACAUCUUGACGGUACCUAACCAGAAAGCCACGGCUAACUACGUGCCAGCAGCCGCGGUAAUACGUAGGUGGCAAGCGUUAUCCGGAAUUAUUGGGCGUAAAGCGCGCGUAGGCGGUUUUUUAAGUCUGAUGUGAAAGCCCACGGCUCAACCGUGGAGGGUCAUUGGAAACUGGAAAACUUGAGUGCAGAAGAGGAAAGUGGAAUUCCAUGUGUAGCGGUGAAAUGCGCAGAGAUAUGGAGGAACACCAGUGGCGAAGGCGGCUUUCUGGUCUGCAACUGACGCUGAUGUGCGAAAGCGUGGGGAUCAAACAGGAUUAGAUACCCUGGUAGUCCACGCCG
rnacentral:rRNA from 1 species